CCUCCUGUGGCCACUUUAAAUAGUGGCUUUUCUAUUUUUUUUCCAAAAGAAGCAUGCUCAAUUCUCAUAUAUGAAAUUAAAAUCUUAUCAGGUAAAUUUACAAUUAACAUAGAUAGAUAUAUGUAUCUGAUAAAUAUACACAACUCAUCCAACAACAACUAAAUUAAUAAGCCUAGACUAGCUUCACCAGGAAGAAGAUAGAGAAGCCACUAUUUAAAGUGGCCACAGGAGG
rnacentral:misc_RNA from 1 species